AGUGAAUCCAUGGAAGACCCCCAAAAGAGGCUGCGGAUUCUUGGUGGACAGCUCUCAUAUCCCCUCCAGGGAAAAUGAUGAAAAAUGUCUUCAGAAAAAUAGCUUUAUGAAGGCAAGAGGAAUUUUUGCACCUGAAAGACAUGUCUGAAAGCUCCUCAGGUCAAAACACAAGUAGUCAAGAGAUUUGUCCAUCUAAUUCAUCAUACUACUCUGAUCCAAGUGAGACCCACACUGGGUCAGCUCCAUCAAGGAGAAGAACAUUCCACCCACGUUUGGAUUCUGGAAUAUCAUCCUUGCUUCCAUCAGAUUCUUGUAAGUACCUCACUUUGCAGAAGGUAGAACAACAUGACAUUCAAGGAAGUCAACUGUGUUGCCCAAGAGUAAGAGAAGGACCCUCUGAAGAAGAGCAACUUUUCAGACAGGUAGAGUGUGCCUUGCUCCCAAGGAAAAGAGUUCUUGACAAAAACAAAUGGGAAAUAUGGCUACAAGAAAACUGGGAAGACUGCAAGAAUUUGAACAUUUCAUUUCAGGAUUUGGGGGAUCCUUACCAAGUUGAAGAUUUUAACAGAAUUCUUAGAAGACUAAUUCGAGUUGAAACCCUCUGCUGCAGAAUUUUAAAUAUGAGCAAAAAUCAUCUCACAUCUUUCAAACAAUUACCAAAGAUACCUCAGAUACAGCAUUUAUCCUUGGCCGAAAACCACAUUGAGACUCUUACUGGAUUCUCCAGUUUAUGGUGCACUCCACUGGAAUCCCUUAUUCUCAGGAGGAACCCUUGUGAGUUCCACCAAAAUUACAGGAAGCGAUCCUCCAAUAAGAAGACAGCACAAUUUAAAAGAGAAAGGACUUAAUGAUAGAGCUAAUAGUGCCUUAUGAUUUUGAAUAAGUUACUUAAAAUGAGGGAUAAAAACCAAUCUGACAGAGUUGUGAGGAUUUAAAGAGAUGCCCAGGAAGCAAUUAAUGUUAAGAAAAUCAUGCGGCCAAUGGGGGCUUUCAAGGAGAGUAUUCUCCUGUUUGCCAAACUUAAAAAUGCUGGAUGGAAUCUUGAAGCUACCAGAAGAUUGCUCAUCACCAGAAACCAAUAUUUUUUCAAAAAUAUGCCUAGUAUCCUAAUGCAGUCUGUAUAGAAAGAAAGCAAUCAUCAUUGUUGCUAAAAGCUAAUAAACACAGGAAAUGCAUGAUUAAAUAUUACAGUUUAUUUUAUAUCUUUUUGCUUUUCUAAAUCAAGGUAGGAAAAUAUUUUCUGUAAAGGACCAGAUGGUAAAUAUUUCAGGCUUUCUGGGCCAUAUGGUCUGUGUCACAACUACUCAACCCUGCCAUUGUAGUGCAAAAGCAGCCAUUGAUAAUAUGUAAAUGUAUGGGUGUGUCUGUGUCUCAAUAAAACUUU